UGGGGAAUUGUUCACAAUGGGCGCAAGCCUGAUGACGCAACGCCGCGUGGAGGAUGAAGGUCUUCGGAUUGUAAACUCCUGUUGCCCGGGACGAAAAGCUCCGACCUAACACGUCGGAGUCUGACGGUACCGGGUGAGGAAGCCCCGGCUAACUCUGUGCCAGCAGCCGCGGUAAUACAGAGGGGGCAAGCGUUGUUCGGAAUUACUGGGCGUAAAGGGCGCGUAGGCGGCCUUCUAAGUCGAACGUGAAAUCCCCGGGCUCAACCCGGGAACUGCGUCCGAUACUGGAAGGCUUGAAUCCGGGAGAGGGAUGUGGAAUUCCGGGUGUAGCGGUGAAAUGCGUAGAUAUCUGGAGGAACACCGGUGGCGAAGGCGACAUCCUGGACCGGUAUUGACGCUGAGGCGCGAAAGCCAGGGGAGCAAACGGGAUUAGAUACCCCGGUAGUCCUGGCCCUAAACGAUGAAUGCUUGGUGUGGCGGGUAUCGAUCCCUGCCGUGCCGAAGCUAACGCAUUAAGCAUUCCGCCUGGGGAGUACGGUCGCAAGGCUGA
rnacentral:rRNA from 1 species